AUGUUUCCUUUGCAGUUCAGAUGUCACCCACUGAACCGAAUCAACCAAGGAGAUGUGCAAGAAGAAGAAGAAGAAGAAGAGGGAAAAAAACUCCCCUUGCCAAGAACACAAGAACAGAGUAUAAGAGUCGAGUUAAUCAGCAGCAGCGGCCGGGGCUCGAUCCACCCGCGCAUAUAUGGUGCCCGUGGCGACGGCGGCGGCUACGGCGUCGUCGUCGCAGACGCCGCGCGUGCCGUAGCAGUGCAGGAACACCCAGAGCAGGGCGGCGUUGAGGAGGGUGUUGACCACCCACGCCCCGAUGCCGCUGCACCCGUCGGCCAUCGCCCCGCCGAAGUGCAUCCACACGACCCAACUUUGGUGUUGGACUGCGUAUCAUGA
rnacentral:rRNA from 1 species